rnacentral:rRNA from 1 species
AUGAACGCUGGCGGCGUGCCUAACACAUGCAAGUCGAACGAAGCAUUUCGCCCGACGGCGGAGGAGUGCUUGCACGAAUCCAAAGUCAAUUGGAAUGACUUAGUGGCGGACGGGUGAGUAACGCGUGGGUAACCUGCCGUGUGCAGGGGGAUAACAGUUAGAAAUGACUGCUAAUACCGCAUAAGCGCACAGCAUCGCAUGGUGCAGUGUGAAAAGCCUUAACGGCACACGAUGGACCCGCGUCUGAUUAGCCAGUUGGCAGGGUAACGGCCUACCAAAGCGACGAUCAGUAGCCGGCCUGAGAGGGUGAACGGCCACAUUGGGACUGAGACACGGCCCAAACUCCUACGGGAGGCAGCAGUGGGGGAUAUUGCACAAUGGGGGAAACCCUGAUGCCAGCGACGCCGCGUGAGUGAAGAAGUAUUUCGGUAUGUAAAGCUCUAUCAGCAGGGAAGAAAAUGACGGUACCUGACUAAGAAGCUCCGGCUAAAUACGUGCCAGCCGCCGC